UCCAGCGUGGCGCCUGGUGGCCGGGCCCUGUGCCGGAGGACAAGGAGUGAGAUGGCCUCAAUCUUGCGAAGCCCUCAGGCUCUCCAGCUCACUCUAGCCCUGAUCAAGCCUGACGCAGUCGCCCAUCCACUGAUUCUGGAGGUAAGAAUGAAUCCUAAGUCUCUACCGCAUGCCCUGGGAAUUGCUACUGCUUCAGGUGCCAUUGGGCCAUUUAUGGUGACUGACAACACAGACUUGUGCUGGAUGCUGUGGAGGCAAAGCUAGAAGCCAUGAACUCUGACCUAAGGAGACUAAGAAUCCAUUGGAGACUUGAGGCAGACCUAAAAUGUAAGAAAGGACCCAAAGCAAUAAUAGAACCGAAUAUCAAGACAAUGUGUAUUUGUUAGUUUCUAUUGCUACAUAACACAUUACUCCAGACUUGAGAGCUUAAAACAACACUUAUUUGUUAUUUCACAGUUCAGUAGUUUAGAGGUCCAGUAGGCUUGGCUGAGUUGUUUGCUUAAGGUCUCACAAGGCCAAAGUCAAGGUAUUGGCUGACCAGGUCCUUAUCUGGAGGGUCUGGGGGAAGAAUUCACUUCCAGACUCAUUCAGGUUGUUGGCAGAGUUGAUUUCUUAUGAUGGUAGGACUGAGGCUGCCAUUUCCCUGUUGGCCUUCAGGCAGGAACUCCUUUCAGUUUCUAGAUACCACUCACAUCCCUCAUCACAUGGCCCAGUCUGUCUUCAAGACAGCUGCAGUGCAUUGAAUCCUUCUCAUGCUUUGAAUCUCUCUGACUUCUUCAGCCUCUAGCCAGAGAAAAUGCCUGGCAUUGAGAAGCCUUCACAAUUCUAAUCCCACAGGGCUCAUGUGAUUAAUUAGGCCCACCUGGAUAAUCUCCCUUUUGAUUACAGCAGAAUCAACUGAUUAGUAACCUUAAUUUCCCUCAAAAUCCCUGUUGUUAUGUAAUGUAACAUAAUCAUAUUGCAUCAUAUUCACAGUCCUGGAGAUUAGGGUGGGAAAUCUUGGUGGGGCUCGGGGUCAUUUUCACAUUCUGUGUACCAUAGUUUGAUAAAUACUAACUGAGUAGCACUGCUAAGUAAGCCCACUAUGGUGC
rnacentral:lncRNA from 1 species